GAUGAAGAACGUAGCGAAAUGCGAUAAGUAAUGUGAAUUGCAGAAUUCAGUGAAUCAUCGAAUCUUUGAACGCACAUUGCGCCCGCUAGUAUUCUGGCGGGCAUGCCUGUCCGAGCGUCAUUUCAACCCUCAAGCCCCCGGGCUUGGUGUUGGGGAUCGGCGAGCCUCCGCGCCCGCCGUCCCCUAAAUCUAGUGGCGGUCUCGCUGUUGCUUCCUCUGCGUAGUAGCACACCUCGCACUGGGAAACAGCGCGGCCACGCCGUUAAACCCCCAACUUCUGAACGUUUGACCUCGGAUCAGGUAGGAAUACCCGCUGAACUUAAGCAUAUCAAUAAGCGGAGGA
rnacentral:misc_RNA from 1 species